rnacentral:rRNA from 1 species
UACGUAGGGUGCGAGCGUUAAUCGGAAUUACUGGGCGUAAAGCGUGCGCAGGCGGUUUGUUAAGCCAGAUGUGAAAGCCCCGGGCUCAACCUGGGAAUUGCGUUGGAGACUGCAAGGCUGGAGUCUGGCAGAGGGGGGUAGAAUUCCACGUGUAGCAGUGAAAUGCGUAGAGAUGUGGAGGAACACCGAUGGCGAAGGCAGCCCCCUGGGUCAAGACUGACGCUCAUGCACGAAAGCGUGGGGAGCAAACAGG